CAGAAUCAUCCAUCAGUCUAGUUACAACUGCCAACUCUACGCUCACUCCCUGAGAACUGCUGAGAGGGGAAGAACGGGCAGGGGGAGUGAAAAGAGCACCGGAGUAGAGAUGAGGGCUGAACAGGCAACCAUGACAAAAAGAGCAGAUGGUCGUGGCAAUUAGAGAUCCCAGGCAGCAUCUUCCAGCAUGAGGCCUCACUGUAGCACCAGGAGAGACCACCUGGAUGACUCAAGUGGCCUUUAUCAGGAUGAGCCGCAACCCAAACAAGCCAAACAAAAGAUAUGGGCGAGGAAAUCUGCCCGCAGAAGAGGGAGGAUCUUAUCGUGCCAGCCAUUGUGUGCCAGCCUGCCAACUGGCGAUGCCCCCCGCCGCCGACCCCCUCCUCACACACACACACACACACACACAGAGCAAAUUCUAGCAUCUCAGGCCCCCCCACCCUCCACCCCCUUCCACCCGGACUCAUGCAUGGCAUUCUGCAAAGGGCUGGCACCUGACCUGGCCUAAAGGAGAGUGAUAUUGACGCCGUGAGUGAAAGGAAGACAAAUGCUGCAGCCAAAUGAGGCGCCAUCUUGGGGUGUCUCACAGGGAGGAUGAGCUCUGACAGAACAGCAAAUUAAAAAUGUAAUAAUACAAAAUAAGCACCUGGUCUAAGCGUUUACCUGUAUGUGGGAGGGCUGGGUGUUGAACUUCAACAGUUUUUGAGUACCAGAUAUUGAAAAAUUGGUCCAAAAAUGCUUGGUCAUCUUCAUUGUCCAGUUUAUUAAUUCAUUGAUUAGCUAUUUCCUCAUUUAUAUCUGCUCAUUUCGGACUGUAUUUUAUUCUGAAGAGUGGUUGUACGGCUAUGUUGUGUUGAGACAAAAUGAAAUAUGUGAAUUUGAGAGGUUUGGCUUAUUUUGUUAAAUAAAAAAGGAGAGUUUCUAGUAUUGAUACCGAAACUCAGGUACUGUAUUUGUACUGGCAU